AGUUACAAUUCGAACAGAACAUUGACUAUAACAGUGCUUAUUUGUUUUCAAGGGGGGGUUUGGACAGGGGGGUUCGUCCAAACCCCUUAAACCCCCCUGGCUACGGGUAUGAAGCAUUAACAUGAGUGUUAUACAUUGCUCCACCCCUCAGUGAUGAUUUUUAAAAACACCGAAAUGAAUUCAGUUAAUGUUAAAUAAAAUAUACCUAAAUCAAAAACUUUUAUUGUGAGGAAGAUCCUUAUAAUUCUUUUCAUUUACCUGUGAUGGUUUAUUCCAUGUGAGCUGAUUUCAUGAUUGAACACUAAUAACUUUUGUGUAUUUGCAUGGUUGAAUUGUAAGACCACCAGUACAGUGAGGUUGAAGUCCCUAUAUUGUAUAUUGUCUUUGUCACUUGCUGUAUCAAUGUUCCAACAAUUCUACCUCAUUCUUUUUCAAUGUGGGCAUACCAUACUGUGUACCACAACAACAACAGAAUAUAAUAUUCUCUUUUGUACAUGCCAUUUCAUAAAAAAUAUAAUUGAGGUUUCUGUUUUACUCCAUGCUUGUCAUUGAACUUAUAUCAAAUGUUUUAAAUAAAGAAACACCUUUUAAAUUUCCUAACACUCUUUUUUAAAUACUAUAAAUGACCCUCUAAAACUUGCAAUGGUAACCAGAUAGUCACUAAGUUAAAAAGACAUGCUUUUAAUUUCAGAAUAUUUAUGGGAAACAUGACCAACUGGCAAAAUCAAAAACUUUUCACAAUGAUUUAAAUCUUUUCAAUUUUUCAAAUAUGAAAGUAUUUUCAAAAGAAAAAAUGUGAGUUAUUUAGGUCAAAUAUCAAAAUGAAAACAUUGGCCAUGGUAAAAUAUUUUUAGAAAGGCUGCUCAGUGACUGCAAAUGGUCACUUCUUUGGUCUUAAAUGGAUACCGGUAGUCUCAUUACCAAUCCUAACACAUUUACUGAUUCAUAUGUUUUUCAUGUCCUUAUGUUUUAUUGUUUUAUUGGGUUGCCUCCCUUCAUUCAUGUAACAUAAGCCAUUGCUAUCAGUUUGAAAGUAAAACCAUAGUACAUCAAUUUCUUUAUUUUUUGCUUUGAAAUUCUACAUGCAUUUAUUUUAUUUAAUGUAGUAAAAGAUUUACAAUUUUAGAUUAAACACAAAAUUAAAACCCAAGCACACCAACUUAUAAAGAGAAUUUAUUCAUGGCUUUCUUGAUUUAUCUUUUAUUUCUAAACAUUUGGUUAAGCAUUUAUCAUAACAUAUCAUUUCACAGUAUAGGUUCAUGUUUUUGGUAUAAAACAACACUUUUCAGCUGAAAGUUUGUGAAUACCUUAAUUUUAAGUUUUUUUCUGUGAUUUAAUUAUUAAUGUUGUGUUUAAAAGUUAUUUUAUUAACAUAAUAUUUUUAAAUUGCUUAACUGAAAGUGUAUAAGAAAAUUCUUGCCCCUAAAUGCAUAUAUUUAGUAACAUAUCUUUUCAACAAUAUAAGGUACAAUAUUUAAAUUUUCAUAUUAAUUUCCAGUAAAGAAAUAUAACAUUUUGAGGCAUGAUUUUAAAAACAAAUUGAAUAAUUACCUAAUAGUGUGUAGGACAAGGGUAAACAUUAGCAUCUUAUUUGUUUUAUGUUUUAUAAAUGAUUUUGCUAUGAUUAAAGGAAUGAAUUUAUAAUGUUAUAUGAUAAAUGUAUUUGAAUGAAAAAGUUAUAGAAGAUACAAAAUAAGUAAAAAAUUCUCAACAA